AGUACGGCGGGUGAUCGCGGCCGGAAGCAAUUCCGGGUGAGGAAAGUCCGGGCUUCACAGGGCAGGAUGCCGGAUAACGUCCGGUGGGGGUGACCCCGAGGAAAGUGCAGCAGAAAUAUACCGCCAGUUCGCUGGUAAGGGUGGAAAGGCAGUGUAAGAGACUACCGUCCGGCUGGUAACAGCCGGAGCCAUGCAAACCCCAUCCGAAGCAAGAUCGAGCAGAAGGCAUAGGGCGGCCCGUCCGCCUUCGGGUAGAUCGCUUGAGCCUGCCGGCAACGGCAGGUCUAGACAGAUGACCACCGCGGUGCAUUUGCACCGUACAUAACCCGGCUUACAGCUGUACUC
rnacentral:RNase_P_RNA from 1 species